AAUUUGGAGUUUCUUGAUUUGUCAGACAACAAUUUCGACAAGAGCAUCAUACCACUUCUAAGUGUAUAUUCAUCUUUAAAAUCUUUAACAUUGAUCGGCAACAAAUUAGAAAAUAUAACUGAUUUUCAAGGUUAGCUCAAAUUGUGAUAUUUUUAUAUUAUAAUUUUUCAAUGUCUCCUUUUAUUUAUUUUUCAAUCUUAUUCAAGCACAAAUUUUAACCAAUAUUUUUUUUUAUUUUGCUUGUGGAGGACUAUAGAGACUUGAAAAUUUGCAGAUUUUUGAGUUAUUCACUUGUGAAAAAUUAAGGUAAUUUGCAAAAAGAACUUUUUAAGAAAAUUACAAGAAAAAAGUAUCAUGUUCACUUGUGCCAAUUUUCAAAUUUAAGAAUUGAAAAUUUUUCAUUUUCUCAAAAUUUAAUUAAACCUUCUAAGAGAAAACUUUUAAGUUUUCCAUCAUAAUAAAAUUACUCUUUUUCAACCGUUAAAAAUAAUGACCUUCUUUUUUUUUUUAUAAACAAAGCUAUGCUAUAACUUUUCUGUGAC
rnacentral:misc_RNA from 1 species